CCUACGGGAGGCUGCAGUGGGGAAUAUUGCACAAUGGGGGAAACCCUGAUGCAGCGACGCCGCGUGAGUGAAGAAGUAAUUCGUUAUGUAAAGCUCUAUCAGCAGGGAAGAAAAUGACGGUACCUGAGUAAGAAGCCCCGGCUAACUACGUGCCAGCAGCCGCGGUAAUACGUAGGGGGCAAGCGUUAUCCGGAUUUACUGGGUGGAAAGGGAGCGUAGACGGCAGGGGAAGUCUGGAGUGAAAGGCGGGGGCUCAACCCCCGGACUGCUCUGGAAACGGUACGGCUGGAGUGCAGGAGAGGUAAGUGGAAUUCCUAGUGUAGCGGUGAAAUGCGUAGAUAUUAGGAGGAACACCAGUGGCGAAGGCGGCUUACUGGACUGUAACUGACGUUGAGGCUCGAAAGCGUGGGGAGCAAACAGGAUUAGAUACCCCGGUAGUC
rnacentral:rRNA from 1 species